rfam:Lasius niger Lnig_2.1_7993, whole genome shotgun sequence.
GUCUGAAUAGCUCAAUAGUAAGAGCAGUUGCCCGGAAAGCAAAAGACUUGGAUUCGAUUCCUGAUUCAACCA